rnacentral:rRNA from 1 species
GAAAGCUGACCACAGAGCGUGAUAGUCGCGUAGCCUAAACGCGCGUCUCUCCGAGACCAACCCCGAGUAGUGCGGGACACGUGAAAUCCCGUAUGAAUCUGGCAGGACCAUCUGCUAAGGCUAAAUACUACCUAGCGACCGAUAGUGAACCAGUACCGUGAGGGAAAGGUGAAAAGCACCCCGGGAGGGGAGUGAAAUAGUACCUGAAACCGUGUGCUUACAAAUAGUCGGAGCCCUAUGCAGCAAACUUGUUUGCCGCACGGGUGACGGCGUGCCUUUUGUAGAAUGAACCGGCGAGUUACGGUAGCGUGCGAGGUUAAGUCGAAGAGACGGAGCCGCAGCGAAAGCGAGUCUGAAUAGGGCGCAAGUACGUUGUCGUAGACCCGAAACCGUGUGAUCUAGCCAUGUCCAGGGUGAAGGUAGGGUAACACCUACUGGAGGCCCGAACCCACGCACGUUGAAAAGUGCGGGGAUGAGGUGUGGCUAGCGGUGAAAUUCCAAUCGAACUCGGAGAUAGCUGGUUCUCCCCGAAAUAGCUUUAGGGCUAGCCUCGGAAUUAGAGUCUUGGAGGUAGAGCACUGAUUGGGCUAGGGGCCCUCAUCGGGUUACCGAACUCAGUCAAACUCCGAAUGCCAAUGACUUAUGUCCGGGAGUCAGACGGUGAGUGCUAAGAUCCAUCGUCAAAAGGGAAACAGCCCAGACCAUCAGCUAAGGUCCCCAAGUGUAUGUUAAGUGGGAAACGAUGUGGAGUUGCCCAGACAACCAGGAUGUUGGCUUAGAAGCAGCCACCAUUUAAAGAGUGCGUAAUAGCUCACUGGUCGAGUGACUCUGCGCGGAAAAUGUAACGGGGCUAAACAUACCACCGAAGCUAUGGCUUGUAGAAUCCGUGAGGAUUCUACUUGGGUAGGGGAGCGUUCCAAGCAGCAGUGAAGCCGUACUGGAAAGAGCGGUGGAGCGCUUGGAAGUGAGAAUGCCGGUGUAAGUAGCGAAAAGACAAGUGAGAAUCUUGUCCACCGAAAGCCUAAGGUUUCCUGGGGAAGGCUCGUCCUCCCAGGGUUAGUCGGGACCUAAGCUGAGGCCGAAAGGCGUAGGCGAUGGACAACAGGUUGAUAUUCCUGUACCACCUCUGUUCCGCUUGAGCAAUGGCGUGACGCAGGAGGAUAGGGUGAGCGGCCUACUGGAUGGCCGUCCAAGCAGUAAGCCUGG